GGCUUGGAUUAUGGCUGUCUGCUGGCUUUCACUAGUCAGCUCGGCUGAAAUAUACGAGCGACCGCCUGAAUUAAUAACGGCUUGACUCGGCGUAAUAACUAUUUCGCUGAGGACGUUUCUAAUUCAAAUGGUGCUUAUAAUGCAUUUAAUUAUUUUAAGCUUUAGACCUCAAAUCAGUCAGGACUACCCGCUGAACUUAA
rnacentral:misc_RNA from 1 species